CCGGCGACCGGCGCACGGGUGAGUAACACGUAUGCAACCUGGCCGUGACAGAUGGAUAACCGGGAGAAAUCCCGCCUAAUACAACAUAAUGCCGGGAGGGGACAUCCCCUGCCGGCCAAAGGGGGCGAACCCCGGUCACGGAUGGGCAUGCGGCGCAUUAGGUAGUUGGUGGGGCAACGGCCCACCAAGCCGACGAUGCGUAGGGGUUCUGAGAGGAAGGUCCCCCACAUUGGAACUGAGACACGGUCCAAACUCCUACGGGAGGCAGCAG
rnacentral:rRNA from 1 species